GGAGAGCCCACUAUCAUUUUUAAGGGAGCUUCUACAGUACGAUUCCACCGGCAGCAGAAAGGCAUGCGGCGGGAAAAAGAAGAGAACCCCCUCCACCGCCUCCUUCUCCUGUUCUAAAAAGAUGUUGCCACCGCUCGCCUCUUCUGUCUCCUCCCUCUCUUUGUCGCGUUAGAAAACCAAGUACCGGUGGGGAAAGGAGCGGAGCUUCUUGAUGAACAAGAGUCGCUGCUGCGGACGGAUCG
rnacentral:lncRNA from 1 species